ACCCCAUUCUCCAGUGUAACGCAACUAACAUCCCGAAAUAAAUUCUGUUCUUAUCAGCUUAAUAUCUGAUACGAGUCCUAUUUGGACUCAAGAUAUUAAACUUAUUUUUGGAAUGCGGCGGAGUGCUUGAAGCUUGCUUCACCUCUGCCACGGGUUGGCCCGGUAUUGCAGUACCUCCGAGAUCGGCCCACUCCCC